UCACUUGUUUCUCUUCAAAUAGUAUAAAUAUUUCGCCUUUUACUAAAGAUUUACGUGGGGAGGAAUAACAAGAUUUAUAUCUCAAUUUUUGAUCAUCUGUGAAAGUGGA